GACGGAAGGUGCAAGCGUUGUCCGGAAUCACUGGGCGUAAAGGGCGCGUAGGUGGCUCGUUAAGCGUGUGGUGAAAGCCUGGGGCUCAACCCCAGGUCUGCCGUGCGGACUGCGAGCUGGAGCAGAGUAGAGGCGAGUGGAAUUUCGGGUAUAGCGGUGGAAUGCGUAGAUAUCCGAAAGAACACCGGUGGCGAAGGCGGCUCGCUGGGCUCUUGCUGACACUGAUGCGCGACAGCGUGGGGAGCAAACAGG
rnacentral:rRNA from 1 species